rnacentral:misc_RNA from 1 species
AAAGUCGUAACAAGGUUUCCGUAGGUGAACCUGCGGAAGGAUCAUUACUGAAGUGAUUUGGGGAUGUUGCUGGCCUCUUCUCAGGGGCAAAUGUGCACUCCCUGAACAAUUCACAAUUUCCAUCACACCCUUGUGCACAUCUUGUAGGCACCCUCCCCCUCUCCAAGGGUUGGGUUUGUCCUAUGUAUUCUUUCAUCUCACACUUUUUGAAUGGUGCUCUUGAAUGCAUCUUAUGGAUUAUUUGUAAAAAAGUAAUCACAGAAACAACUUUCAACAAUGGAUCUCUUGGCUCUC